rnacentral:rRNA from 1 species
UACGUAGGGUGCAAGCGUUAAUCGGAAUUACUGGGCGUAAAGCGUGCGCAGGCGGUUCUAUAAGACAGAUGUGAAAUCCCCGGGCUCAACCUGGGAACUGCAUUUGUGACUGUAGAGCUGGAGUACGGCAGAGGGGGAUGGAAUUCCGCGUGUAGCAGUGAAAUGCGUAGAUAUCUGGAGGAACACCGGUGGCGAAGGCGGCGUUCUGGACUGCAACUGACACUGAUGAACGAAAGCCAGGGGAGCAAACGGG